rnacentral:rRNA from 1 species
AUGGAGAUUGACAAUCUAACCCGGGAUUCUAACUUUCUCACGGGGCGUGUGUGUAACAAGGAUGGAUGGGAAUGGUGGCUAUCCAUGGUGUAUGGUCCCCAAGGGGAUGAGUCAAAGAUCAAUUUUUUGAUCGAAUUGCAACAUAGAAGAGAUGCUUGCCCGGGUCCUUGGAUGGUGCUUGGUGACUUUAAUAUGAUCCUGAGGGCUGAGGAGAAGAAUAACUCGAAUCUUAAUAGAUCUAUGAUGAGGAGAUUUAAGGCUUUUAUGGAUAACAAUGAGCUUAAAGAACUCUACAUGCAUGGAAGGAGGUUCACGUGGUCCAAUGAGAGGGAGAACGUGGUGAUGACCAAGAUCGAUCGGGUGUUAGUGUCGGUGGAUUGGGAGCUUUACUAUCCGGAUGUUUUGUUGCAAGCUCUUUCAACUAAUAUUUCUGAUCACGCCCCGUUGCACCUCUCCACGGCGCCGCCUUUCUGCGCUAAGAAGAGUUUUAGGUUUGAGAUGUAUUGGACGCGGCUUGAGGGGUUCGAGCAGGUAGUGAAGGAAGCUUGGGUGUGCACGGAGGAGAUCACCGAUCCUUUCAAAAGAUUGGAUGCAUUGUUAAGGAACACGGCGGUGGCCCUUCAAGCUUAG